rnacentral:rRNA from 1 species
UGCCAGCCGCCGCGGUAAUACGUAGGUGGCAAACGUUGUCCGGAAUUACUGGGCGUAAAGGGCCCGUAGGUGGUCUGCUAAGUUGUUUGUGAAAUCUCCCGGCUCAACCGGGAGAGGUCGAGCAAUACUGGCAGACUUGAGGGUAUCAGAGGAAGACGGAAUUCCCGGUGUAGUGGUGAAAUGCGUAGAUAUCGGGAGGAACACCAGUGGCGAAAGCGGUCUUCUGGGAUACAUCUGACACUGAGGGGCGAAAGCGUGGGGAGCAAACAGGAUUAGAUA